UACGUAGGGUGCAAGCGUUUGUCCGGAAUUAUUGGGCGUAAAGAGCUCGUAGGCGGUCUGUCGCGUCGGCUGUGAAAACUCGGGGCUCAACCCCGAGCCUGCAGUCGAUACGGGCAGACUAGAGUGCUGUAGGGGAGACUGGAAUUCCUGGUGUAGCGGUGAAAUGCGCAGAUAUCAGGAGGAACACCGGUGGCGAAGGCGGGUCUCUGGGCAGUAACUGACGCUGGAGGAGCGAAAGCCGUGGGGAGCGAACAGG
rnacentral:rRNA from 1 species